rnacentral:rRNA from 1 species
GGCGGCAGGCCUAACACAUGCAAGUCGAGCGGUAGAGAGAAGCUUGCUUCUCUUGAGAGCGGCGGACGGGUGAGUAAUGCCUAGGAAUCUGCCUGGUAGUGGGGGAUAACGUUCGGAAACGGACGCUAAUACCGCAUACGUCCUACGGGAGAAAGCAGGGGACCUUCGGGCCUUGCGCUAUCAGAUGAGCCUAGGUCGGAUUAGCUAGUUGGUGAGGUAAUGGCUCACCGAGGCGACGAUCCGUAACUGGUCUGAGAGGAUGAUCAGUCACACUGGAACUGAGACACGGUCCAGACUCCUACGGGAGGCAGCAGUGGGGAAUAUUGAACAAUGGGCGAAAGCCUGAUCCAGCCAUGCCGCGUGUGUGAAGAAGGUCUUCGGAUUGUAAAGCACUUUAAGUUGGGAGGAAGGGUUGUAGAUUAAUACUCUGCAAUUUUGACGUUACCGACAGAAUAAGCACCGGCUAACUCUGUGCCAGCAGCCGCGGUAAUACAGAGGGUGCAAGCGUUAAUCGGAAUUACUGGGCGUAAAGCGCGCGUAGGUGGUUUGUUAAGUUGGAUGUGAAAUCCCCGGGCUCAACCUGGGAACUGCAUUCAAAACUGACUGACUAGAGUAUGGUAGAGGGUGGUGGAAUUUCCUGUGUAGCGGUGAAAUGCGUAGAUAUAGGAAGGAACACCAGUGGCGAAGGCGACCACCUGGACUAAUACUGACACUGAGGUGCGAAAGCGUGGGGAGCAAACAGGAUUAGAUACCCUG